rnacentral:rRNA from 1 species
GAUGAACGCUGGCGGCGUGCCUAAUACAUGCAAGUCGAGCGAACAGACGAGGAGCUUGCUCCUCUGACGUUAGCGGCGGACGGGUGAGUAACACGUGGAUAACCUACCUAUAAGACUGGGAUAACUUCGGGAAACCGGAGCUAAUACCGGAUAAUAUAUUGAACCGCAUGGUUCAAUAGUGAAAGACGGUUUUGCUGUCACUUAUAGAUGGAUCCGCGCCGCAUUAGCUAGUUGGUAAGGUAACGGCUUACCAAGGCAACGAUGCGUAGCCGACCUGAGAGGGGGACGGGCCACCUUGGAAUGGAAACACGGUCCAGCUCCCUCGGGGGGGCAGGAGGAGGGAACUUUCGCAAAUGGGCGAAAGCUUGACGGAGCAACGCCGGGGGGGUGAUGAAGGUUUUGGGAUCGUAAAACCUUUUUUUUAGGGAAAAACAAAUGUGUAAGUAACUAUGCCCGUUUUGACGGUCCCAAAUAAGAAAGCCCGGCCUAACUACGU